UACAAAAUACUUCCUUGUUCCGCAGCGAGCGACCCAAUGGUCGCUGCCACAGCUGCCCGCCGCUACUUCGAGUGUGCCCAGGAAGGGCUGCGCCUGAAGCGGCAACUUCAUGGGACUCAAUGAAGAACUGGGCCUGGCAAGGGUGAAUCCACAUGAUGCACAAAGUCAAUGGGCCUUGAAAAUCCAUUCCAGAAGAUCAGCUGUGGAGUCUCCUGAACAAAAGGACUUGUCUUCUAUGGGACUGCAAUGAGAAGAGGCUGCAAGUGGCCAGAGGGACUCUUACACAUGUGAAAUGUAUAGGAUGAAAAAAGGUACUGACUGGGCUUCCAAUCCUGUUGACAGCCUUUUUGCCUACUUCCCGGCUUAGGUCCCAUCUACACCGAUCAUAUACAGCUGGAUAACGUAUGCCAUCUUGUAUUGCAUGUUGUCCUGCGUUUAAUUGUUCUUAUCAGUUUAUGAAUCUGUUUGCAGUUGUGCACCUUUUACCACUGAGCAAAUUGGGUCUUUGGACCAUAUAAAGUUUUGAUUGAUAUAAAAAUGCUUUAAAAUGAA